rnacentral:rRNA from 1 species
UACAGAGGGGGCAAGCGUUGUUCGGAAUUACUGGGCGUAAAGGGCGCGUAGGCGGCCUUCUAAGUCGAACGUGAAAUCCCUGGGCUCAACCCAGGAACUGCGUCCGAUACUGGAAGGCUUGAAUCCGGGAGAGGGAUGCGGAAUUCCAGGUGUAGCGGUGAAAUGCGUAGAUAUCUGGAGGAACACCGGUGGCGAAGGCGGCGUCCUGGACCGGUAUUGACGCUGAGGCGCGAAAGCCAGGGGAGCAAACGGG